CACACACACACGCCAUGGUGUCGUCCACAGUUGUUUGCUGAAAACCCUCGUUCAUCUCCCAUAUCCCCCUCUGUGUUUGAGUGUGUGUGAUGGUGGUCAUGUGUGUUGUGUAUGUUAUUACCUGAACUGAAUGUCUCUCUGUGUUGUCUCUCUCAGGCCCUUGGGGGGAAGGUCCACUCCUGCGUGAGGUUCAUCGAGCUCAUGAUUCACCUGGAGGCCCUGAUCCUAACACGUUGCUGGUUCAACACGGUGCUGGAUGACUCCCACCUGGUGUCCAGCCUCAUGCAGAGAGAGGAGGAGGGACACCUCUUCUGCCAGUUACUGGGCAUGCUGUUCUACACCGGCUUUGGGAUCAACGACCAGCUGGCAACGCCCUGACAGAGAAGGAGAUGACCACGCUCCACUACGACAGAAUCGCAUCACUGCAGAAGGCAGCUUUUGCCCAUUUCCCAGAGCUGCAGGACUUUGCCCUGUCCAAUGUGGGAGCCGUGGACACACAGGAAUCCCUCACCAAACAGUUUGGCCAUCUCAGUCCCAACACUCUCCACCGGGUGGCCUCGUACUUAUGUCUGUUACCAGAGCUGGCAGAGGGACAGGACACCACCAUUGAGAAAGAGGUCCUCCUGGAGCUGCUGCUCUCUUUCUGUCUCUCUUUCUUCCCUCUCUCACACUAACAGGUGUCUCGUCAUGAGAGACGAAUCUCCCAGAUCGAGCAACUUAACCAGAUGCCUCUUUAGCC
ensembl:lncRNA